GAGCCGUGAAAGAAAAGAAAAGCUUUUCUAAUUAUACACUCCAUAAUCUAGCUUAGAGUACUGGAUAUCUGGAUGGUUGGGAGAGGGACAUGGAAAAUGACAGUUGUCUCUACAUAAAUGGAGAUUCUACAAAUUUACAGCCACUUGCUCGGAAGGAAGAAUCUUUGAAACAAGCCAAAAGACCUGGCUGAAAAUUCAGAAACUAAGCAUUCCAAAAUCUUGGAAUCAAAAUCUGGCUUAAUCUUUAAAAGAAAGAGACUAGUAUUUCCAUGUACCUGCAAGCAAGGUACGCUGUUUCGGUACCGGACUCCGAAUUAAUGUCAUUCUAUUACUGUAUCGG
rnacentral:lncRNA from 1 species